CGGGCCCAAGUUCAAGGUCCCAGUGGAGUCAUUGUUGGUGGAAGGAUCUGAACCCACCAAUCGGCCAGCUCUGUAUGAGAAGACAAGGACCUUUCUCCAUGAUCCUUUCGUCCCUGUAGCCCAGCCUACAGCAGAAAGAUGGGGCUGCACCCCUGCCGUGGGCUGAGGCUGGGAAGGAACGCGGACGGGGAGGAGGACCCAGGCAGCACCUCCCCGCGGACCAGAACUCGAACCCACAGCUCUGGACUUAGCCGGGGGCUCUGGCGCUCGCCUCCGCCUCCGAGCGGAUGUGCCGGAUAUUUGUUGCCCUAAGUUCCUGAAUCACCUCCUGAGAAAUGCAUUGUGGUGGGCGUGUGUGUUCCUCUGGGGACUCCGUGCUUGGGCUUAAAGCAUUUAGGAAAUCAAUAAAAUAAAUACUCUCUAAGCCUCGGAUCGCAAAAACAAACAACGGGUCCUUGGGACCUCGAUGUGGAUUUAACAAAUUAACACUGGGCCUUCUCAGAGGAGCCUCGGAGCUGGAGAAAUAUUUACAGCCUGGAACGU
rnacentral:lncRNA from 1 species